CCUACGGGAGGCAGCAGUGGGGGAUAUUGCACAAUGGGGGGAACCCUGAUGCAGCGACGCCGCGUGGGUGAAGGAGCGUUUCGGCGCGUAAAGCCCUAUUGGCAGGGAAGAAGAUGACGGUACCUGACCAAGAAGCCCCGGCUAACUACGUGCCAGCAGCCGCGGUUAUACGGAGGGGGCAAGCGUUAUCCGGAUUUACUGGGGGUAAAGGGGGCGCAGACGGCAAUGUAAGCCAGGAGGGAAAGCCUGGGGCCCAACCCCGGGACUGCUCUUGGAACUGCGUGGCUGGAGUACAGGAGGGGCAGGCGGAAUUCCUAGUGUAGCGGUGAAAUGCGUAGAUAUUAGGAGGAACACCGGUGGCGAAGGCGGCCUGCUGGACUGUUACUGACGUUGAGGCCCGAAGGCGUGGGGAGCAAACAGGAUUAGAUACCCCGGUAGUC
rnacentral:rRNA from 1 species